UUUAAAAUAUAUUUGGAGAAAAGAUUUUGUGCAUUUGUGUGUUGUAUCAUGCAUGACUGGAAGAAGAUUUUUUGUGGAAGUUCCAAGGCCAUUCUCCACUCAAAAUUUCUUUAUGUAAAAGUGCUUUUGAUUACUUUUUACAAAAACACCUUUCUCCAAGGACUUCUCCGUUUUCCAAAUGUUCCCACACGAGGUGCUUCAAGUUGUGAUCCUGUUAAAAAGGCUGAAAUGCUUCAGUGACGAUGUUUAAUUGAAGUCCUGCAAUGCCAAAUAAACGAGUUUUGCCAUACAAGUAAACCUGCACGGUCAUUGCACCACUAUGACAAUAGAGAUCUUAUUUUAGACGAUGUAGCUUGUUAGAAAUCCUUUAUGUCCCUGUGUUUUUGCCUAUUAUAACGAUUGACUGAUUGCUGCUCUUUCAGGUAUCCUCCAAUUAAAUGUGAGACCUACUUGCUUCAGCGUUACAAGGACACUCAUGUUGAUUUGUGUUCUUACAAAUAAGAUAGGACAUGGUGGUAACUAGUAAAGCUAUAAAUGGUACCCCCUGACUUUUCUUACACAGUUUAUAAGGGUCGAGUCUUUGAAUUAAGUUCGACUGGGUUGUAGAAUACUGUUUGUUAAGCUCUAUAUGAUGUUACUUGAGGAUUUAUGGUGCCAACAUGAGCAUGUAUGAUAUUUACUUCUUCUUUCAAGCUCGGCAAAGAUUUCACCGAGGCCAUUAGGGCCAGGAAUUGGUGGUAGCUAGUGGUCUUUUCCAUAAGCAAUACCAAGAUUAAAACCUCCAUAAAUACAGUUCUACAUAGUAAUAGUAUAGACUUUGUUGAUGCACUAGCUAUAGCUCAAAUACCGUUCGUUGUUUUCUUCAUAUAUUCACGUUACAUUGAAGAAAUUAUUAUUAUGGCACAAUAGAUGGGUUUUCGGGAAUUGUGUACAUUUUAUGGCCGCAGGUUAAUAGUCAAGACCAUCUGGUCCUAACUUGAUGAAAUUGUCGCUAGUUGUCUCCUUUUGCCUCGAUUGUUUUGUAAAUGACUCUUUUUAAUUUCUCUUGCAAGGAUAGAUCUCUUAUACCACAAUCAAAAGAUCCUUUUAAAUGAAUCUUACGAUAAAACGUAGGAUUACGGUCUAAACUUUUGUAUGUUACUGCAAAUGUUAGAGCAGUAUCACAAUCCAAAUAGGAGGGUCGCGACGGGCACCCGAUACCUUACUCAGUCGAGUACCAAUGCAACGUAUUUUUCUUGUCAAAUUAUCAUGGGUAAAUGGGUCAGAAGUGCCUUCAUGAGAUAACCAGAAUAAAACAUAAGCGAAUACUAGACAGAAGACGACACAACAUAAUAUAGAAACUUAUACAUGUGACAUACGAACCCACAAGGCCGACAUGAUCAUUUGUACACUCAAAACAUACGUCGACAAGGUUAUCCAAGUAUCCAUAUACAUGACAUAUAUCACAAGUCUCUAAGAGUACAUAAAUGUUAUAAAGGACGGGAUAGGGUCCAGCCAUACCAGUCGAUACUUGUCCAAAUUAUAUUGACCAAAUAGGCAACUCCAGAGUAAGUGAAGUGCACCAACACCUUCCGCUAAGCUUAUAACCUACUAGGAGGUACUGUCAACUUGUCUAUCGGGACCUGCGGGCAUGAAACGCAGCUGCCCCAGGCAAAAGGGACGCUAAUACAAAUCAAGUACCUAAGGAAUGAAAAGUAGCAUAUAAAAGACAUAAAAGAAAAGGAAAAUCAUAAUAGCUAAACAUGAUUGAAACUAACUACACAUACAAGAUAACAUGCUAUAUGAUUCCAAAGAAAGAAAAUAACCUAGAAUCCCUAAAACGAUUUAUAUGUCUAUUAAUAAAAAUGCAUCAAAGCAGCCACUGAAACUUUUCCAUAUCCAUGACGGAGGAAUCAAUAACAACUCAAAUAUAUAAAAGUCAAUCUAUAACAUGACCACCAGUAUAUAUGGAAAGGGGAAAAAAAAGCAUCACACAGGAAUGCUUUUGCAAGCUCGACUUGAUCAAAUCUGAUCCAACAUUCAACCAUUCUCACUCUGAGAUGUGAUUAAUACCUGGAAAUUAGACAAAGAAUAGAAGCAAAAGUGAGACAGCAGCCCAGGAUCAGCAGGUAAACAACCAGUUUUAAACCCAGAAAAUAAAGUAAAGCAGCCUAGAAGAACCACUUCAAAACCAGCAAUAAACCAGAGGACCUCUGCCUAGACUUGAUUUCAAUUCAUUUCAACUAUCAACUACCCAGAAAUUGUUUUUAGCACUAGGAGAAACUUCAGAGAUCACCAACAAGACUCAAUGAAACAAUAUUUUUGAAGUUUUUAGCCGUCUAAAACUUUUCAGGAUUUUCAGCACUUGAAAAUCUAGGGUCCCUUGCAAGGCAAGAAU
rnacentral:lncRNA from 1 species